ACGGGCACUGGGGGUUAUUCUGUAUGUUAGUAAAUUGAACACCAAUAAAAAAUAAAUUAAAAAAAAUAAAUAAAAUAAAUAAAUAAAUAAAUAAAAAUAAAAAUGCAAAAAAAAAUAAUAUAAUAUAAUAUAGUAUAAUAUAAUAUACUGGACUAGGUUGGGCCCCUAAUCCAAUAUGGUGACCUUAUAAAAAGAUGCCAUGUAUAGAGAGACACAUUAUUGAGGGAAGAUAAUGUGAAGAAACAAUGGGAAAAGAUAUCCAUCUAUAAGCGAAGGAGAGAUGACUAGAACAGAUUCUUCUCUCAGAGCCUUCAGAAGGAACCAACCCUACCAGUCUAGCCUAUAGGCUUCUAGCCUAUAGAACUGAUAGAACUGUGAGAAAAUCAGUUUGUUGAUUAAACCACCCCGAUUUUGGUAAUUGUUACAGCAGCACAAGCAAACUAAUACACCUGAUUUAUAGCAUUUGCCUAAUUCCAUGAAGCAAAUAUUCCCACUAUGGCUAAUUUCAGCCUACCAAUAUACUGUCAUCAAACACAAAAUUAUGAAGAGACAUACAAUCAACUCUCUCAAGCAGGUCUGUGCCAGCACCAGACACCACUGCCUGUGAGUCAGCAGAUCACAUCCAAUCUGGGAUGCCUAUAAAAGCAGGGAACACAUGAUCCUGGGGUAAACAGAAAUGGUCCACUAAAAAAUAAUGUUUCUAUUCUUAUUCAUGUUGCACUCUCCAAAAUCUCAUGGCAUUACAUAAAGAAAAAUGUGACUUGAAAAAGAGGAGCCAGAAUAGGAGGAGCUGGAAGAGGAAGAGGAGGGGAAGUUUAGAAACAAAUAAAAGACUUACUAUCUGUUCCUUUACAGAAAAAUUUUCUAUUCCUGGAAGUAAAGAAUAGUAAGAAGCAGAGCGGCACUGUGUCAAGAUGCUGAAAACAAAACCGAAAUCGCAGAUGUGAGAAAAGUUCCAGAAAUCAAAGAGAGGAAGACCCCUUGUCAAUCGAAGGACAAAGAACGUGAGAAGCUGCGGAAGAUACUUGCAAAAGUUAAAUCGGCCCUUCAGGACAAUGUAGAAAAGCGUAAGAAAGGAAGGAAAUCGACCAUACUGGUCUGUUACCGCAGACACAGCAAAGUGAAGACUGAAAAUCAGCUGAAGAUGAAGACGGAAGAAGAAAGCCUGUCCCCACUCCGGGCAACACCCUAUGCCUGCCAGGGGCCAAAGAUCUCAAAGUAGCUGUUACCUCCCCAGAAAAAGCACUGGAGAGAUGGAUGCUUAGGUAGAGAUCAAAAGUUUCAUGGUGGUCACCUGUGAGGAGACCAAUGAAGUGCACGGAUAUUGAUUAAAACAACAAGUUGCAAAUGG
rnacentral:lncRNA from 12 species